CUGCGUUUGUGCUUUCGGUUUCUCUUUGCUGCUUGCUGUACAGACCGAUACCACGCUGGCUGGCUAGGUUGCUCUGCUUCUCUGUAUGGGCUAGUUGGAGUUUCCAAACAGCUUGGUGGACUGAGAAUUGUCACACUGUGCACAAGGCAGGGUACAACUCUUGCACAGUUGUAGCCAGAGAACCAACUAAAGGUACCCAUAUUCUACCAUGAGCCUUGGGAAUUGCCCAGCAUUACUUCUUCAGUGUACGCUGGAACAACUGUAAACCUGCCCAAUUUCAAUGGGAAGGAAUGUGGAUUCCAACUCUCAAAGGUAUAGCUCCUUGAUGCAGAGGCCCCAUUUGUCCUUCUAUGUGAGCCCCUGAACUGCUGCCACCUCCAAAUGAAGGACACAGACAUGCAGGAGAGGGAUAUGGCUUCCAAGUUCCCUAGCUCCCAGCCUGCCUGCCUCACUGAAGACAGAUGAAGAAGCAGAUGUAGGCUAGGAGGGCCCUCAACUCCCCUGGGGCACAUCUGAAACUGAAAAGCAUCUUCCAGCUUCCACUGGACAUUAAGGGACCCAUUUUCCUGGCAAGCCUCCUGAAAGCAUGCAAAGAUCUACACCCAGAUGAUGGUGCUGCUCAUUCUUAAGAUGGGACUUCCCACGUCACCUAACGAAAUCAAGACAGUCUCCCACAGACACGCCCACUGGCCAACCUAAUACAGACAAUCCCUCAUUGAGACUCUUCCCAGGUGAUUGACAGUUAAACCUAACUCACUUUCAUAUCACUCAUUACACAGUAAUGCUGCCUGACUCAACUGUGUCUAACUCAUACACCAGUUGCCACCUGUGUCUGUUUCUUAUCAGAGUCUACAGUGUGGGAGCUCUCUGAGAGAGGAGCAGAGCUAGUAGAAGGAAUGCUCAGAGUUAAUGGGAACUUUGGCACCAAAUUUAAGUAAUCUUAGGUUUUCCUUACCAAGUAGAUGAGGAAUGUUUUUUACCAGAACUUUAUCAUAGUCAUAUAACAAAGUUUCCAUGAUUAAUAUUUGGACUCUAUAUGUAUGUGCUGAAGAAGCAGGAUGAUAGAAGGGAAAUUUCAACACAAUAAAUUCAUUAUUUACUAUACAUUUAAUAAAAAUUAAGGUAGUGCUCUUUGGGAAGAGUAUUAAAUAAAAAAUUUUCCAGGAGUUCCGUCUGGUGUUUUGUGAUAAGGUUUAACUAUGUAGCCCAGGCUGGCCUUGAACUC
rnacentral:lncRNA from 1 species